GUUAAUUAAUGUACCUAGUCACUUGCGGCCUCGACUCUUAUUUCUAUUUACCACGGACCGGCGCCCACCCAAAUCUCCUCUUGCAUCUAGUCUGCAAUCUGCUCUUUCCUUCUUUGACGUCGCCAGUCGCCUCCUAUCGCUUUGAAGGAUGGGCUGCAUCAUCUUUCUUGCCUUCCCUUGCCUCAUGCUUCUCGCGGUCUCCUCUUCUCCAAUAAUUCAAAUCGCUGCCAUGAUCAAAGCCUGAUGUUAUGCCUCCCCUUCCUCUUCCUUGCUUCAAGCUCUCAUGAUCUUAACCUCUAACUAUCAAUGUUCCUUCAAUUCAAUUCCUCUACAACUUUGGGAUUCUUAUAUUUGGAGGAAGGUCAAUCAACUUACUCUUAUCGGCCCUUGACUUUUUCUAUGAAAAUUACUAUAUGAUAGGUUGUAUGUAACUGGGAGAAAUUUUUGCUUAGACCCUUCCUCAUCUAACUGGGAUUCGCAUAUUUGCGUAUCAUAGAACAGCUAAAUUUUGUAUUAAUGCCUUGAAUUGUGGGUGACGGCCACUGAUCAGGGAGUUUACAGGAACGUUUCACUCAUCAAGGCGAAUUGUUUUCUCCUAAACUUCUAUGAUGGGAGCUUUCGUUUAUCCGGACGUGCCCCUCAACGUUGCCGAAUUGUUUUGGCUGCUCGUGAGGUGUUUGUUGUUUUGUUUAAAUGAAGCGUUGACGCUGAUGCAUGUCCGGGUGUGUACAGGUUAAGGCUAACGGUAAGGAAUAUUCUUGUUUCGCUAAUCUUGGAGCCAAAUAAUGUGUAAUUAUGAGAAGUUUGAGAACAUAGCGUCAUUGCUUGCGACUAACAGGUUCUUUAUAGUGACACUUUAGUGUUUAGGGACAGAGAAGUCAGGGAAUCUUAUCAAAUGCGCUGCAAAAAGGUUCCAUCAAUAAUCAAUUUAGCCAUUGUUAAUAUGCAAGAUCCAUUCUGUUUCCAGGGAGUGGUAAAUGCUUUUGGUUGCUUUUGAGUCCUCCAAUUUGUUUAUUGUAAUUCUGUUCAAACCUUUUGCUCUUUCUCUCUCUCUCUGGGGUUACUUGUAGAGGAUUGGAUCAACUGUUAUAUAGCCUCACGCCCUCAUGCGCAUGCUCAUGCUCAUGUGUUCACUACUUGGAACUCUUUCUUUGCAUCUACAGAGAAAACAAGUAAAAACUCGAAGGCAAAGAUGCCAAAAUGGGAGACAGAUUCACCUGCAAUGGUUGGUGGAAAUGGCGUUUACAGCUAUUACAGGAACUCUUACUAUCAGGUAUGACAAGCGGCGAAGCUUCGAAGGAGAGCCGAAAGCGGAAGAAGGAGGUCUCCCGGAAGGUGCGGGAGAUGAAGUGUUCCGAGCUGCUUCAAACGCCCGGUCAUGAACCUAGGGAAAUACAAGGAGGCUCAUCUCAACCCUCGGGACCGCCGGUCAUAGAAGUGGUUCGAUCUCCUCCUCGCCAAAAGGAGCCGCCUCCACCUCCUCCAAUCGCUUCGAGUGCGGAAGGGGGUCCUUCCCAACCUCCUGUAAGGACCCUUUCCCGUGGUGCCCAAAUCUUGAUUCAUUCGCUGGAGUAGAACCGCACGGUUCGAGAGAACCCGGGUUUUGCUAAGGUCUUGGGGUCCUCCAUCUGCCUCUGGGAGGAUCAGGAUAGGCUGUCUCUGGAAAAUCUUGAUGACAUCCUGACCCGAUCCAUGAGCCUGAACGUGGAGUGUUUGGUGAAUCAGCACAUCGUUCGGGAGAAGGCUCACCGCCUGGGUAAGGAGGUUGAGAAGAUGGGGCAUGAAGUGGCUUCCCUCCGAUCCCAACUCUCAUCCGCUCAGAACUACAUAUUUGAAAUUGAGGGGCGGAUGAAGUUCUACGAGGACAAGCUGGCCAAGCAAGCUCAUGUUCUGGCCGAGCGAGAUCAUGUUCUUGAGGAAGUUCAGGCGCUUCGAGCCGGUGAAGUUGCUCACCUCACUGAGGAGCUCAAAGCGAAAGAGGAAGAGGCGGUAACAAGGGAGGCCGGCGCUUAUGUAAAUGCUCACAGGGACCUCUUGGCCGAGCUCAAGAAGCGUUAUCCCGAGGAGGACUUUUCUGGAUGGUCGACCUGGCUCCCCAAGACGAAGAGGAAAGCGAGGAGGAGGCUGAGGGUGAGAGAGGAAGUGAGCAAAAUGUAGAUCAGGCUGGGGGUGAUCCUCCAGCCGAAUGACUUGUAUAAACUUUAAUAUGAAAUGAAAUUUCCUUUUUUGUUCAGUGAACGGAUGUGAUCGGAAAAUCUCUAAAUUACUUAAGCACUUGAUUGUCUGAGCAUAUUAAAACAACUAAAAGUUAUUAUUAAUCUAAGUGUAAGAGGUCGAAAGACACAAUAAGCAUGAGAUCGGCAGGGAACCAACGCUAAACGGUACUUGAUUAAAAUUGGAAAUUUGGCUUGAACACUUAAGAUCGGGAUCAUCAUUAAACCGGAUUGGAACCUUAACUUUAUUAUUCCCAAACUUUUAAAUGAAAGAUCGGCAAUAAGACUGGUGUCACGAAGGCCUAAUGUUGGUUCAAUUUCGUUUGUCAAGAGAGAUCGGGAAUGUAAUUGACUAGUCAGGAGAUUUGACAAUUGGUUUGAGAGGUCGGUGAGGCUUUAAAUGACAUGGGGACUUAGUAUUGAUUCGAUUCCUUUCGAGGAGAGGUCGGAAAUGUGGUUGUCCGGCAAAGAGAGAUCGGAAAUAUAAUUGGCUGGCAAAGGGAGACCUAGUGCUGGAGAUUGGUUUCGAAAUUUAUUGAUUCCGGGGAUCGGCCAAAAUAU